rnacentral:rRNA from 1 species
GAUGAACGCUGGCGGCGUGCCUAAUACAUGCAAGUCGAGCGAACGGACGAGAAGCUUGCUUCUCUGAUGUUAGCGGCGGACGGGUGAGUAACACGUGGAUAACCUACCUAUAAGACUGGGAUAACUUCGGGAAACUGUAGCUAAUACCGGAUAAUAUUUUGAACCGCAUGGUUCAAAAGUGAAAGACGGUCUUGCUGUCACUUAUAGAUGGAUCCGCGCUGCAUUAGCUAGUUGGUAAGGUAACGGCGUACCAAGGCAACGAUGCAUAGCCGACCUGAGAGGGUGAUCGGCCACACUGGAACUGAGACACGGUCCAGACUCCUACGGGAGGCAGCAGUAGGGAAUCUUCCGCAAUGGGCGAAAGCCUGACGGAGCAACGCCGCGUGAGUGAUGAAGGUCUUCGGAUCGUAAAACUCUGUUAUUAGGGAAGAACAUAUGUGUAAGUAACUGUGCACAUCUUGACGGUACCUAAUCAGAAAGCCACGGCUAACUACGUG